UACGUAGGGUGCGAGCGUUAAUCGGAAUUACUGGGCGUAAAGCGUGCGCAGGCGGUUCGUUGUGUCGGCGGUGAAAGCCCCGGGCUUAACCUGGGAAUGGCCGUCGAAACUGGCGAACUGGAGUGUGGCAGAGGGGGAUGGAAUUCCGCGUGGUAGCAGUGAAAUGCGUAGAUAUGCGGAGGAACACCGAUGGCGAAGGCAAUCCCCUGGGCCUGCACUGACGCUCAUGCACGAAAGCGUGGGGAGC
rnacentral:rRNA from 1 species